rnacentral:misc_RNA from 1 species
AAAUUUUGAAGGCAACCAAAACGAUCCUCUUACAGAAGCCUGACUCUGCCAAAGCAUUUGACUCAUUUCUUGAGAAAAGGAAACCAGCACAGUCCAUUGCAUCUCCGCUCUCAACUAGAGAAGAGUUAGAAGGUGUAUCUUCUAAAAAACCUGAAGACAAUACCGCAAUUAAUGGUAAUCUGGAUGUGCCCUCAGUAGGACAAAAUGUAAACAACCAAGCUCCCAG